ACCCCCCCUCUCCCCCGAAAGCGGCGGCGGCGGCCUUCCUCGCCGGCGCGCGCGUGCAUCCGUUGCUCGCGCGGACCUUGCCCGCCCAGCCCCCCCGCGUCCCUCGCGCUCGCUCGCCGGACCACCAUCCGCACCCACGAGAAGCUGCCAAAUCCGGCGCCCACCUCCACGGCGAGGCAUCUACCUUCCCCGCCUCCACCUCCGCGGCGACGGCGACGCGGCUCCGGCGCCCCGGACGCGAUGCACCAGCCACCCGCAUCCAGCCGUCGACCUGCCACUCGACGGAAGACGAGGACGGGGACGUCAUGGCCAAACCGGAGCAGCACGACGACGGAGACGUCCUCCAGCCGGGCCGCGGAAAAAAAGAUGCAAAUACAACCACACAUCUGCAACAUGCUCACGGGCUUCCCAGGAUUUUGCAUUGCCGGAUGCAAACACAACUGCACAUCUUGUUAACACCAACAGCUCGAAAUACUCCACCUCAAUCCCAACUCUUCAACCGUCAUCCGUGACCCGUGCUCGCACCUGCUGGCCAUUCUUCAGUCUGGAUGGUGUCACCUGGCUGCUCCCACCAGGCCGCAUGUGGCUGCUCCCUCCCAUCGACGAUUCGGUCUCGUGUGUGUGUGCGACCCAGCAGUUACACCUCUGCCAAUGCUGCUUGGCUGCCAAUUGACUCGCACGCGAUUCAUACCCUGAUACAAGGAAGCUGGUGUAGCUCCGGCGAUGCUGCUGCGCCAUCCGUCGCCUCCGAUAUCUGACACCAAGAUGGUGACUGGUCUUGUGAGUGGCAGCCAAAUGUAGGCGUGUAUCCUCGUAAACUACGACAUGCCUGAUUCUGCUGAUAAUUGGCAAGAUCAUAAUCACUCCUCUCUUGAUCAUUCAGUGCAGCCUAAAACUGUGAUAGGCUGAUAGCAUCCCUGACCAUUGCUCCCACCCGAUGGCCAUUCAAUCUGGUUAAUUAACUGGAUGGAACAAGCCCACUAGCCGAAUCCAAACUCCGCAACCAUCAUACCUGACCCUUCGGUCUGGUCUGGGUCCGACAAUGCUGCUGCGCCAUCCGUCGCAUCCGAUAUCUGACACCAAGAUGGCGACUAGUCUUGUGAGUGGCAGCCAAAUGUAGGCGCGUACCGUCAUAACUACAACAUGCCUGAAUCUGCUGAUACAUACUUGCAACUGCCUAAAACUGUGAUAGCACUCUUUGUUUUGCUGAUGAAGGACUACUCGAUAAUUCAUUUUGGAACAAGGGUGAUGCAGACUCUGGGAUAAUUGGCCAAGUUAGAGGAAGGGGCUUUAGACACGAGAAGACCAAGACCAAGCGUAUUGGUGGUGCUGUCCACUGUAGCUACUGCUGGCACCCACUAUGGCCUGCACCCCCUGUCUUUGACUGUGACAUCUCCUACAGCGGUGUUCUUCUUUGACCACAUGUGUUCAGGCGAAGGCUGGUAGCAUCGCAGGAAUGACUGGAUGGUGGAUGAACAGGAAGUGAAAGCAACCCUUGCUUCUGAAACCAAUUGAAUACCAGGCCUGUGUUUUGGUUGUGGACUGUUAUUUGUCACUCCACUUCUGGACUGUUGGGUGGUAGUCGACAAAGUAUCGUUGUUCUUGUGAUGCUCCAUACUGUAGCAUAUGUUUGUCUAGACUUGUGAUGGAGUUGGUUUGUGCUGUUGUACUUUUAUUGUUUAUUGUUUGGAUUGUGAUCUAGUUGUCCCCAAAACAGCGGAUGUUAUGCUGAAAUUUUCUUAGAAUUUGAAUAAUUAUAUGCCACUUUUCCCUACAAA